GGCCUCGUGGCUCAGUUGGCUAGAACGUUGGGUGUACUAAAGCCUUCCCCUUGCUGGCGUGGGUUCGAAUCCCACCGAGGCCG
rfam:Schistocephalus solidus strain NST_G2 genome assembly, scaffold: SSLN_scaffold0020789